rnacentral:rRNA from 1 species
GACAGAGGCCUCGAGCGUUAGGCGGAAUCACUGGGCUUAAAGCGUGUGUAGGCGGGCCCGCAAGUGUCUUGUGAAAUCCCACGGCUCAACCGUGGAACUGCUGGGCAUACUGCGGGUCUUGGGCCAACUAGGGGCAGCCGGAACAAGCGGUGGAGCGGUGAAAUGCGUAGAUAUCGCUUGGAACGCCGAAGGUGAAAACAGGCUGCUGGGGUUGCGCCGACGCUGAGACACGAAAGCCAGGGGAGCAAACGGG